rnacentral:lncRNA from 1 species
GCAGAGAACGGGAAUUAGUUCGUGUGAUGGGCCUAGCAGGGUGUGGCCAGAUGGGCAGGUAUCAUUGUCAUCAGUAAAGGCACCAUUACAACUCCCGACUCUGAAAACCACAUCCUCAGACCUGGCUUUCUCUAUUUCUUUCCCUGGCAGAAGGAUCAGUGGCUACCAUUUAAAUGGACAUCACUGAAAAGAAGUAUC